AAUUCUGACUAAGUGAUUUUCUCACUUGUAUCACAUGGCCAUAAUAUGUCUCUCUGUUCCUCUUAUCUCCUAGUGAUAACAUCAACAGUAAAACCCAAUCAUCAAAAGUAUAUACAUCAAAUUAAUUAAGAAGAUAUUGAAAUUGUCCUGACUUAUACUGUUUAUUAGACUGAAAGAUAAAUUCAGCAUUGUAGUGAUAAUAAUAUUAAAUGUGUACAAAGUUUUUGGUCCUAUGUGAGCACAACCAUAGGAACGAUAGUAUGAUCUGU
rnacentral:lncRNA from 1 species